UUCUGGAACUCAAUUAGCAGGUCUAUUUCUGGAACUCAAGCAGAUGUUUUCUGGAACUCGAGCAGAUGAUGGUCGCAUUCUCCUCGCUUUUUUCUAGUUUUAUAGUGGAGAGGGUGGGAGAGAGAAUUGGCUUAAGUUGCCUAUUUGCACUCCUCUUCAUUGCGCUUCUUAGUACUGCCUAUGAAAGUUACUUAUCCAAGCACGGAGGUUGUUCAAUUGCAUACGCGGAAGUAGAGCAUACUUGCUACCAUGUUGAAGUAAAACGAGAGUUUCUCAAGGGUGCCUUCAUGAGGUAAAUACUGAGCUCUUCAAGUGCCCAAUUUGAGUAAGUCAUUUCCUUGGUAUUGAAGAUAUUUGUGAUUGGUAAACUAAGGUUGUAAAUUUUGGUGAUGCUUCCUGCAUUGAUAUUUAGUAUUAGCUUUGUCUCACUCAUUCAUAUGAAAAUUUGAACGGAUAUAUGUCUGCUAGUCAUACUUAUGGUCCAAAACAAAUGUGAAUUGACAACAGGAUCUGUGGUGUAAAAGUUUAUGCAACUUUUCUUGUACUUCUUUUCUCUUUUAUAUUUAUAUGUUCCAUAUAUUAAGGAUAUUACUUGUUAGACUACCUUAUCAGAAAAUUUUGGGAUGGACAUGAGAUUUAGGUUGCAAAUCUAAGAACCAAUUGUGUUCUUUGUGGUCCCUCAGCAUCUCAAGUUUAAUAUCAUUUCAGUGAAUUCUAAUCAAAUAUGUAA